GACGAACGCUGGCGGCGUGCUUAACACAUGCAAGUCGAACGGAAAGGCCCUGCUUUUGUGGGGUGCUCGAGUGGCGAACGGGUGAGGAACACGUGAGUAACCUGCCCUUGACUUUGGGAUAACUUCAGGAAACUGGGGCUAAUACCGGAUAGGAGCUCCUGCUGCAUGGUGGGGGUUGGAAAGUUUCGGCGGUUGGGGAUGGACUCGCGGCUUAUCAGCUUGUUGGUGGGGUAGUGGCUUACCAAGGCUGUGACGGGUAGCCGGCCUGAGAGGGUGACCGGCCACAUUGGGACUGAGAUACGGCCCAGACUCCUACGGGAGGCAGCAGUGGGGAAUAUUGCACAAUGGGCGGAAGCCUGAUGCAGCAACGCCGCGUGCGGGAUGACGGCCUUCGGGUUGUAAACCGCUUUCGCCUGUGACGAAGCGUGAGUGACGGUAAUGGGUAAAGAAGCACCGGCUAACUACGUG
rnacentral:rRNA from 1 species